UACGGAAGGCAGCAGUGGGGAAUAUUGCACAAGUGGGCGAAAGCCUGAUGCAGCGACGCCGCGUGAGGGAUGAACGGCCUUUCGGGUUGUAAACCUCUUUCAGCUCCGAAGAAGCGAGAGUGACGGUAGGAGCAGAAGAAGCACCGGCUAACUACGUGCCAGCAGCCGCGGUAAUACGUAGGGUGCAAGCGUUGUCCGGAAUUAUUGGGCGUAAAGAGCUCGUAGGCGGUGUGUCGCGUCUGCUGUGAAAACUCAGGGCUUCAACUCUGAGCUUUGCAGUGGGUACGGGCACACUAGAGUGCUGUAGGGGGAGACUGGAAUUCCUGGUGUAGCGGUGAAAUGCGCAGAUAUCAGGAGGAACACCGGUGGCGAAAGGCGGGGUCUCUGGGGCAGGUUACUGACGCUGAGGAGCGAAAGCAUG
rnacentral:rRNA from 1 species